rnacentral:rRNA from 1 species
UACGGAGGGUGCAAGCGUUAUCCGGAUUCACUGGGUUUAAAGGGUGCGUAGGUGGGUUAGUAAGUCAGUGGUGAAAUCUCCGAGCUCAACUCGGAAACUGCCAUUGAUACUAUUAGUCUUGAAUAUUGUGGAGGUUAGCGGAAUAUGUCAUGUAGCGGUGAAAUGCUUAGAUAUGACAUAGAACACCAAUUGCGAAGGCAGCUGGCUACACAUAUAUUGACACUGAGGCACGAAAGCGUGGGGAUCAAAC